UACAGAGGGUGCGAGCGUUGUUCGGAAUUAUUGGGCGUAAAGGGCGCGUAGGCGGCCAACUAAGUCGGAUGUGAAAUCCCCAGGCUUAACCUGGGAACUGCAUCCGAUACUGGAUGGCUUGAAUCCGGGAGAGGGAUGCAGAAUUCCAGGUGUAGCGGUGAAAUGCGUAGAUAUCUGGAGGAAUACCGGUGGCGAAGGCGGCAUCCUGGACCGGCAUUGACGCUGAUGAGCGAAAGCUAGGGGAGCAAACGGG
rnacentral:rRNA from 1 species